AGCGAACGCUGGCGGCAGGCCUAACACAUGCAAGUCGAACGAAGCCUUCGGGCUUAGUGGCGGACGGGUGAGUAACACGUGGGAACGUACCUUUUGGUUCGGAACAACUCAGGGAAACUUGAGCUAAUAUCGGAUGAGCCCUUAGGGGGAAAGAUUUAUCGCCGAAAGAGCGGCCCGCGUUAGAUUAGCUAGUUGGGGAGGUAAAGGCUCAUCAAGGCAACGAUCUAUAGCUGGUCUGAGAGGAUGAUCAGCCACACUGGGACUGAGACACGGGCCAGACUCCUGCGGGAGGCAGCAGUGGGGAAUCAUGCGCAAUGGGCGAAAGCCUGACGCCGCCAUGCCGCGUGAAUGAUGAAGGUCUUAGGAUUGUAAAAUUCUUUUACCAGGGACGAUAAUGACGGUACCUGGAGAAAAAGCCCCGGCUAACUUCGUGCCAGCCGCCGCGGUAAUAC
rnacentral:rRNA from 1 species